UUAAAGUUGUUGUGGUUAAAAAGCUCGUAGUUGAACCUUGGGCCUGGCUGGCCGGUCCGCCUCACCGCGUGUACUGGUCCGGCCGGGCCUUUCCUUCUGGGGAACCUCAUGCCCUUCACUGGGCGUGUUGGGGAACCAGGACUUUUACUUUGAAAAAAUUAGAGUGUUCAAAGCAGGCCUUUGCCCGAAUACAUUAGCAUGGAAUAAUAGAAUAGGACGUGCGGUUCUAUUUUGUUGGUUUCUAGGACCAUCGUAAUGAUUAAUAGGGACGGUCGGGGGCAUUAGUAUUCCAUUGCUAGAGGUGAAAUUCUU
rnacentral:rRNA from 1 species